UUGCAAAUAAGUGGGUUGAAGACAUAAUUACUAAUCUGUCUUCCAUACAUGUAACAAAAGACUGCAGAGGCCAUAUGAAUUCAUCUUGACUAAGGAACUCUUCACAGCACUGCAUCUGAACAGUCACAACCUCACAGAGCAGCACAACCGCCCACUCAGGAUCAGUGUUAUGGUGCCAUUUUGAAGCUGGAACCUCAUCUUGUGUACAGAAAAGGUAGAGUUGAAAAUUCACUGGUUGUCUUGUAUUGUGUGUGGCAAAACCUGGGAUAACACAUGGGAGCCUUCCAGGAAUUCCCGACACUUUACACCCAAGUCUCCUCAUGCCAACCGGUUUGCAAUAUGACAGUCUAGUCACCAUAAACACCUGGACUCGCCAA